AACGAACGCUGGCGGCAGGCCUAACACAUGCGAGUCGAACGCGUGUAGCAAUACACGAGUGGCGCACGGGUGAGUAACACGUGGAAACCAACCCAGAGGUUCGGAAUAACCGCGGGAAACUGCGGCUAAAACCGGAUAUCCCCUAAGGGGGAAAGAUUUAUCGCCUUUGGAAGGUCCCUCGUCCGAUUAGCUAGUUGGUGAGGUAACGUUUCACCAAGGCUACGAUCGUUAGCUGGUCUGAGAGGAUGACCAGCCACACUGGAACUGAGAUACGGUCCAGACUCCUACGGGAGGCAGCAGUGGGGAAUAUUGGGCAAUGGAGUCAACUCUGACCCAGCCAUGCCGCGUGGGUGACGAAGGUCUUCGGAUUGUAAAGCCCUUUCGGCGGGGACGAUGAUGACGGUACCCGCAGAAGAAGCCCCGGCUAACUUCGUGCCAGCAGCCGCCGUAAGAC
rnacentral:rRNA from 1 species